UUAAGUAUUUGCUCUUUUGUCUUUAGUUUAUGUUUUAGUGGAAACUCCACCAUGACCAUUUAGAAGAUGAUUCUCAAGCUAGUGCACCUCCUCAUCGAUUUUGUCUUGUCAAGAUCCAGAGCCCUUGGGAGCAAAGGGGACACAGACUUGCAGCAGAAAUCACUGUCACAGGAAUGAAGAUUUCAACCAGAUGUGGAUCCUGUUUGAAGCAUCUAAGCUUUCCUAUGCUCAUCUUUAUGUCCACACUUCAUCUGCACAAUGGGAAUAAUUAUAUGGAGCAGAUUCAGAUUCAGAGUAGUGGUCAUCUUGAACUGCUGCCCAGCAAGUCCCCCCUCCCCAUGGACAAACUGCUGAAUACAGUGAAGCUUAAUAACCUCGAGGGGA